UACGAAGGGGGCUAGCGUUGCUCGGAAUUACUGGGCGUAAAGGGCGCGUAGGCGGAUAUUUAAGUUAGAGGUGAAAGCCCAGGGCUCAACCCUGGAAUAGCCUUUAAUACUGGAUAUCUUGAGUUCGGGAGAGGUGAGUGGAACUCCGAGUGUAGAGGUGAAAUUCGUAGAUAUUCGGAAGAACACCAGUGGCGAAGGCGACUCACUGGCCCGAUACUGACGCUGAGGCACGAAAGCGUGGGGAGCAAACAGG
rnacentral:rRNA from 1 species